UACGUAGGGUGCAAGCGUUAUCCGGAAUGAUUGGGCGUAAAGCGUCUGUAGGUGGCUUUUUAAGUCCGCCGUCAAAUCCCAGGGCUCAAUCCUGGACAGGCGGUGGAAACUACCAAGCUGGAGUACGGUAGGGGCAGGAGGGAAUUUCCGGUGGAGCGGUGAAAUGCGGCAGAUAUCAGGAGGAACACCAAUGGCGAAGGCAGAUCUCUGGGCCGUAACUGACGCUGAGGAGCGAAAGCAUGGGGAGCGAACAGG
rnacentral:rRNA from 1 species